GCCUAGUUAGCUUAGUUGGUAGUGCGUCUGCCUUGUAAGCGCUAGGCCGCGGGUUCGAUUCACGCCCGGGGCG
rfam:Asian citrus Psyllid, Diaphorina citri - Florida Strain, whole genome shotgun sequence.